AGAGCGAACGCUGGCGGCAGGCCUAAUACAUGCAAGUCGAACGGAUCCUUCGGGAUUAGUGGCGGACGGGUGAGUAACACGUGGGAACGUACCCUUUGGUUCGGAACAACUCAGGGAAACUUGAGCUAAUACCGAAUGUGCCCUUCGGGGAAAAGAUUUAUCGCCAUUGGAGCGGCCCGCGUCUGAUUAGCUAGUUGGUAGGGUAAAGGCCUACCAAGGCUACGAUCAGUAGCUGGUCUGAGAGGAUGAUCAGCCACACUGGGACUGAGACACGGCCCAGACUCCUACGGGAGGCAGCAGUAGGGAAUCUUGCGCAAUGGGCGAAAGCCUGACGCAGCCAUGCCGCGUGAAUGAUGAAGGUCUUAGGAUUGUAAAAUUCUUUCACCGGGGAAGAUAAUGACGGUACCCGGAGAAGAAGCCCCGGCUAACUUCGUGCCAGCAGCCGC
rnacentral:rRNA from 1 species